UGAGGAAUUUUGCGCAAUGGGGGAAACCCUGACGCAGCAACGCCGUGUGAGUGAUGAAGGCCUUCGGGUCGUAAAGCUCUGUCGAGUGGGAAGAACCCAUACCCGUAUAACAAGCGGGUGUGCUGACGGUACCACUGAAGGAAGCACCGGCUAACUCCGUGCCAGCAGCCGCGGUAAUACGGAGGGUGCGAGCGUUAUUCGGAAUUAUUGGGCGUAAAGGGCACGUAGGCGGCCGUGUGAGUCAGCUGUGAAAGCCCGGGGCUUAACCCCGGAAGUGCAGUUGAUACUGCGCGGCUUGAGUAUGGGAGAGGGAAGUGGAAUUCCUGGUGUAGCGGUGAAAUGCGUAGAUAUCAGGAGGAACACCGGUGGCGAAGGCGACUUCCUGGACCAAUACUGACGCUGAGGUGCGAAGGCGUGGGGAGCAAACA
rnacentral:rRNA from 1 species